rnacentral:rRNA from 1 species
GACGAACGCUGGCGGCGUGCUUAACACAUGCAAGUCGAACGGAAAGGCCCUGCUUUUGGGGGGUGCUCGAGUGGCGAACGGGUGUGAAACACGUGAGUACCCUGCUCCUGACUUUGGGAUAACUUCAGGAAACUGGGGAUAAUACCGGAUAGGAGCUCCUGCUGCAUGGUGGGGGUAGGAAAGUUUCGGCGGGUGGGGAUGGACUCGCGGCUUACCAGCUUGUUGGUGGGGUAGUGGCUUACCAAGGCUUUGGCGGCUAGCCGGCCUGAGUGGGUGACCGGCCACAUGGGGACUGGGAUACGGCCCAGACUCCUACGGGGGGCAGCAGGGGGGAAUAUGGCACAAUGGGCGGAGGCCUGUGGCAGCAACGCCGGGGGCGGGAUACCGGCCUUCGGUUGGAAAACCGCUUUCGCCGGGGACGAAGCGUGAGUGACGGUAAUGGGUAAAGAAGCACCGGCUAACUACGUG